rnacentral:rRNA from 1 species
GAUGAACGCUGGCGGCGUGCCUAACACAUGCAAGUCGAACGGGACUAUUAAGCGAUGUUUUCGGACUGAACUUUUUAGUUUAGUGGCGGACGGGUGAGUAACGCGUGGAUAACCUGCCUUUCACAGGGGGAUAGCAGCUGGAAACGGCUGGUAAUACCGCACCCGCUCAUAUCACCGCAUGGUGGUGUGAGGAAAGAUUUAUCGGUGAAAGAUGGAUCCGCGUCUGAUUAGCCAGUUGGCGGGGUAACGGCCCACCAAAGCGACGAUCAGUAGCCGGCCUGAGAGGGCGGACGGCCACAUUGGGACUGAGACACGGCCCAGACUCCUACGGGAGGCAGCAGUGGGGGAUAUUGCACAAUGGGCGCAAGCCUGAUGCAGCGACGCCGCGUGAGUGAAGAAGUAUUUCGGUAUGUAAAGCUCUAUCAGCAGGGAAGAAAGGCCCUUUUAGGGAGAUGACGGUACCUGACUAAGAAGCCCCGGCUAACUACGUGCCAGCAGCCGCCGUAACAC